AUUGAACGCUGGCGGCAGGCCUAACCCAUGCAAGUCGAGAGAGCGGAGGACGGGUGAGUAAUGUAUGGGGACUGCCCGAUAGAGGGGGAUAACUACUGGAAACGGGAGCUAAUACCGCAUACUAUAGGGUAACCCCUAUGGGAUUAGCUAGUAGGUGAGGUAAUGGCUCACCUAGGCGACGAUCCCUAGCUGGUCUGAGAGGAUGAUCAGCCAGCCGAGGACUUAGACACGGCCCAGACUCCUACGGAGGCAGCAGUGGGGAAUAUUGCACAAGGGGCGCAAGCCGGAUGCAGCCAUGCCGGGUGUAUGAAGAAGGCCUUCGGGUUGUAAAGUACGUUCAGCGGGGAGGCGUUACCCGCAGAAGAAGCACCGGCUAACUCCGUGCCAGCAGCCGCGGUAAUUC
rnacentral:rRNA from 1 species